AGUAUAUAGACUCUAGUUGGUUCUGUUAGGACCUGGUCCUCUCUGUCUCUGGGUAUAAAGUCUAUAGACUCUAGUUGGUUCUGUUAGGACCUGGUCCUCUCUGUCUCUGGGUAUAAAGUCUAUAGACUCUAGUUGGUUCUGUUAGGACCCAGUCCUCUUUGUAUCUGAGUAUAAAGUCUAUAACCUUUACUUGGUUCUGUCAGGAGCCAGUCCUCUCUGUCUUUGGGUAUAAAGUCUAUAGACUCUAGUUGGUUCUGUUAGGACCUGGUCCUCUCUGUCUCUGGGUAUAAAGUCUAUAGACUCUAGUUGGUUCUGUUAGGACCUGGUCCUCUCUGUCUCUAGGUAUAAAGUCUAUAGACUCUAGUUGGUCCUGUUAGGACCCAGUACUCUCUGAGUAUAAAGUCUAUAGAGUCUAGUUGGUUCUGUUAGGACCCAGUCCUCUCUGGGUAUAAAGUCUAUAGACUCUAGUUGGUUCUGUUAGGACCUGGUCCUCUUUGUCUCUGAGUAUAAAGUCUAUAGACUCUAGUUGGCUCUGUUAGGACCUGGUCCUCUCUGGGUAUAAAGUAUAUAGACUCUAGUUGGUUCUGUUAGGACCUGGUCCUCUCUGUCUCUGGGCAUAACGUCUAUAGACUCUAGUUGGUUAUGUUAGGCCCUGGUCCUCUCUGUCUCUUGGUAUAAAGUAUAUAGACUCUAGUUGGUGCUGUUAGGACCUGGUCCUCUCUGUCUCUGGGUAUAACAUCUAUAGACUCUAGUUGGUUCUGUUAGGCCCUGGUCCUCUCUGGGUAUAAAGUCUAUAGACUCUAGUUGGUUCUUUUAGGACCUGGUCCUCUCUGAGUAUAAAGUCUAUAGACUCUAAGUUGGUUAUGUUAGGACCUGGUCCUCUCUAGGUAUAAAGUCUAUAGACUCUAGUUGGUCCUGUUAGGACCCAGUACUCUCUGAGUAUAAAGUCUAUAGACUCUAGUUGGUUCUGUUAGGACCUGGUCCUCUCUGGGUAUGAAGUCUAUAGACUCUAGUUGGUUCUGUUAGGACCUGGUCCUCUCUGUCUCUGGGUAUAAAGUCUAUAGACUCUAGUUGGUUCUGUUAGGCCCCAGUCCUCUUUGUCUCUGAGUAUAAAGUCUAUAGACUCUAGUUGGUUCUGUUAGGACCUGGUCCUCUCUGUCUCUGGGUAUAAAGUCUAUAGACUCUAGUUGGUUCUGUUAGGACCCAGUCCUCUCUGGGUAUAAAGGCUAUAGACUCUAGUUGGUUCUGUUAGGACCCUGUCCUCUCUGUCUCUGGAUAUGAAGUCUAUAGACUCUAUUUGGUUCUGUUAGGACCUGGUCCUCUCUGUCUCUGGGUAUAAAGGCUAUAGACUCUUGUUGGUUCUGUUAGGACCCAGUCCUCUCUGGGUAUAAAGGCUAUAGACUCUAGUUGGUUCUGUUAGGACCUGGUCCUCUCUGUCUCUGG
ensembl:lncRNA